rfam:Cupriavidus metallidurans CH34, complete genome.
GCAACCUUAUGCUCGCGCGCGAGCGCCGCGUGGUGUUCCUGAGCCUGCUCGGUAUUUCGUGGCUCUGGUUCCUCGGGGCCACGUUCCUGACCUCGUUCUUCAGCUUCGCCAAGGACGUGCUG